rnacentral:rRNA from 1 species
AUACGGAGGGUGCAAGCGUUAUUCGGAAUCACUGGGCGUAAAGGACGCGUAGGCGGGUUGGCAAGUCAGAUGUGAAAUCCUACAGCUUAACUGUAGAACUGCAUUUGAAACUGCUAACCUAGAGUAUGGGAGGGGGAGAUGGAAUUAGUGGUGUAGGGGUAAAAUCCGUAGAUAUCACUAAGAAUACCGAAAGCGAAGGCGAUCUCCUGGAACAUAACUGACGCUAAGGCGUGAAAGCGUGGGGAGCAAACAGGAUUAGAAACCCGAGUAGUCC